UAUAUUUUAAUGUAUGAAGCAUACAAAAUUUUGAAUUUUGUAGAAUUAGUUUAAAUCUAUUAAAUAUAA
rnacentral:tRNA from 1 species